rnacentral:rRNA from 1 species
GUGUCAGCCGCCGCGGUAAUACCAGCACCCCGAGUGGUCGGGAUGAUUAUUGGGCCUAAAGCAUCCGUAGCCGGUGUAACAGUCCUCCGUUAAAUCCACCUGCUUAACAGGUGGGCUGCGGAGGAUACUGUUACACUAGGAGGCGGGAGAGGCGAGGGGUAUUCCACGGGUAGGGAUAAAAUCCUCUGAUCCGUGGAGGACCACCAGUGGCGAAGGCGCCUCGACAGAACGCGCGCGACGGUGAGGGAGGAAAGCUGGGGGAGCAAACCGGAUUAGAUACCCGGGUAGUCCCAGCCGUAAACGAUGUAGGCUCGGUGAUGGACUGGCUCCGAGCCAGUCCAGUGCCGCAGGGAAGCCGUUAAGCCUACCGCCUGGGGAGUACGGCCGCAAGGCUGAAACUCAAAGGAAUUGGCGGGG